rnacentral:rRNA from 1 species
GACGAACGCUGGCGGCGUGCUUAACACAUGCAAGUCGAACGGAAAGGCCUCUUUCGGGGGGUACUCGAGUGGCGAACGGGUGAGUAACACGUGAGUAACCUGCCCUUGACUUUGGGAUAACUUCAGGAAACUGGGGCUAAUACCGGAUAGGAGCUCCUGCUGCAUGGUGGGGGUUGGAAAGUUUCGGCGGUUGGGGAUGGACUCGCGGCUUAUCAGCUUGUUGGUGGGGUAGUGGCUUACCAAGGCUUUGACGGGUAGCCGGCCUGAGAGGGUGACCGGCCACAGUGGGACUGAGAUACGGCCCAGACUCCUACGGGAGGCAGCAGUGGGGAAUAUUGCACAAUGGGUGGAAGCCUGAUGCAGCAACGCCGGGUGCGGGAUGACGGCCUUCGGGUUGUAAACCGCUUUCGCUCAUGACGAAGCUUUGUGUGACGGUAGUGGGUAAAGAAGCACCGGCUAACUACGUG